rnacentral:lncRNA from 1 species
AGGCAUCACCACCUACUUCCCCUCAGCAGUGGGUCCUUGGUGACCCUCUGGCUGGCAAAUGAUCCCAUCCUGAGGGCCUGCUUCCCAGGACCAUGUCUGGUAUUGUCUCAGGUUGGGGCCCCCAGAAGCCGACCCUGAGAAAAAGAUUUGAGAGCGCAUCAUUUAUUUAGGAGGUGACCCCAGGAAGCCCCUGCAGGGGACAGGUUCUUUCUGCCAUCAUGAAUGUGGCAGAAAGUUGUCAUGAUGCUACAGCAUUUCUCAAGCGUGGUUGUUUCAGGGGAAGAGACUCUGAGGCAGAGAGGAACAUGCAGGAGGUUGAUUAGAGACCGCUCUUGGGAUCAACACCGCUGGAAGAGAAUGCAAUGGAAGGAAGCAAGAUUGGGCAGAAGGAGAAGCUGAUCUGUGAUGCAAGCCCCGUGGGGAGCUCUGAAAAUGGGGUCUGCUUUUGGGGGAACUUAAGCCAACACAAGCUCGAUGGAGAGGACGAGGUUGAAAGUAAAGAAGAGAGAGGAUGCAAAAGAAGGAGCAGAUCCCCAGGGGGUCUAGGGGGGCCGUGUAAGCUGGCAGCCCUCAUGCGACGUUCCGGAGCCGGUGGCACAAGGGGGUCUACAGAGAGAAGAGAGCGGCUCUGCAGGGAAUGAGAAGGAGGAGAGUGGGGGACUCGGACUGAGCGUGGAGAACAGCCACUUGCAUUGCGGUCUCUCCAGUUUCCCAUUUCAAACUCUGGGUCAGCGUGGCAGUCCUUCCUGCCUGUGGGUUCCAUAUGACAUCUGUAAAAUGGGAUGGGAUGGUACCCACCUCCAAGGGUGACUGAAGAUGAGGAACAGCCCGUGUGGGUGCUCAAUAAAUGCUGGCUCUUACUCAGCCACCAUUGUUUUACUUUUAAGUUCUUC